rnacentral:rRNA from 1 species
CAGGCUUAACACAUGCAAGUCGAGGGGCAGCAUGGUCUUAGCUUGCUAAGGCCGAUGGCGACCGGCGCACGGGUGAGUAACACGUAUCCAACCUGCCGUCUACUCUUGGACAGCCUUCUGAAAGGAAGAUUAAUACAAGAUGGCAUCAUGAGUCCGCAUGUUCACAUGAUUAAAGGUAUUCCGGUAGACGAUGGGGAUGCGUUCCAUUAGAUAGUAGGCGGGGUAACGGCCCACCUAGUCUUCGAUGGAUAGGGGUUCUGAGAGGAAGGUCCCCCACAUUGGAACUGAGACACGGUCCAAACUCCUACGGGAGGCAGCAGUGAGGAAUAUUGGUCAAUGGGCGAGAGCCUGAACCAGCCAAGUAGCGUGAAGGAUGACUGCCCUAUGGGUUGUAAACUUCUUUUAUAAAGGAAUAAAGUCGGGUAUGUAUACCCGUUUGCAUGUACUUUAUGAAUAAGGAUCGGCUAACUCCGUGCCAGCAGCCGCGGUAAUACGGAGGAUCCGAGCGUUAUCCGGAUUUAUUGGGUUUAAAGGGAGCGUAGAUGGAUGUUUAAGUCAGUUGUGAAAGUCUGCGGCUCAACCGUAAAAUUGCAGUUGAUACUGGAUAUCUUGAGUGCAGUUGAGGCAGGCGGAAUUCGUGGUGUAGCGGUGAAAUGCUUAGAUAUCACGAAGAA